AGAGUUUGAUCAUGGCUCAGGAUGAACGCUAGCUACAGGCUUAACACAUGCAAGUCGAGGGGAAACGACAUCGAAAGCUUGCUUUUGAUGGGCGUCGACCGGCGCACGGGUGAGUAACGCGUAUCCAACCUGCCCACCACUUGGGGAUAAUCUUGCGAAAGUAAGACUAAUACCCAAUGACGUCUCUAGAAGACAUCUGAAAGAGAUUAAAGAUUUAUCGGUGAUGGAUGGGGAUGCGUCUGAUUAGCUUGUUGGCGGGGUAACGGCCACCAAGGCGACGAUCAGGUAGGGGUUCUGAGAGGAAGGUCCCCCANAUUGGAACUGAGACACCGGUCCAAACUCCGUACGGGAGCA
rnacentral:rRNA from 1 species